AACGAACGCUGGCGGCGUGGAUAAGACAUGCAAGUCGAACGGAGAACUUAAAUAGCUUGCUAAUUGAGUUCUUAGUGGCGGACGGGUUAGUAACACGUGAGAACCUACCCUUUAGACAGGAAUAGCCCAUGGAAACGUGGAUUAAUGCCUGAUAGUCUCUACGGAGUAAAUGAUGCCUUAUGGUGUCGCUAAAGGAUGGGCUCGCGGCCUAUCAGUUUGUUGGUGAGGUAAAGGCUCACCAAGACUACGACGGGUAGCUGGUCUGAGAGGACGAUCAGCAACACUGGAACUGAGACACGGUCCAGACACCUACGGGUGGCAGCAGUCGAGAAUCAUUCACAAUGGACGAAAGUCUGAUGGUGCAACGCCGCGUGGAGGAUGACGGUCCUAGGAUUGUAAACUCCUGUCAUUGGGGAGUAAGACUUAUUAGUUAAAAGCUGGUAAGUUUGAUAGUACCCAAAGAGGAAGGGACGGCUAACUUCG
rnacentral:rRNA from 1 species